rnacentral:tRNA from 1 species
GGAGGGUAUAGCUCAAUGGUAGAGUGUGUGCUUAGCAUGCACAAGGUCCUGGGUUCAAUCCCCAGUGCCUCCA